CGUGAUGGGGUGGCCGCAGGGCUGGAAGCAACUGAUUUCACACUGUCAAGAAAAGCCGCUAGCGAGACCGUAGGUGCCCGUACCGCAAACCGACACAGGUAGAUGAGGAGAGAAUCCUAAGGUGAGCGAGAGAACUAUUGUUAAGGAACUCGGCAAAAUAACCCCGUAACUUCGGGAGAAGGGGUGCUCCGGAAACGGAGCCGCAGUGAAAAGUCCCAGGCGACUGUUUACCAAAAACACAGGUCUCUGCGAAAGCGAAAGCUGAAGUAUAGGGGCUGACGCCUGCCCGGUGCUGGAAGGUUAAGGGGAUGUGUUAGGGCAACCGAAGCACUGAACUUAAGCCCCAGUAAACGGCGGCCGUAACAAUAACGGUCCUAAGGUAGCGAAAUUCCUUGUCGGGUAAGUUCCGACCCGCACGAAAGGCGUAACGAUCUGGGAACUGUCUCAACAAUAGACUCGGUGAAAUUGUAGUACCGGUAAAGAUGCCGGUUACCCGCAGCAGGACGGAAAGACCCCAUGGAGCUUUACUGUAGCUUGAUAUUGAGAUUCGGCGUUGCAUGUACAGGAUAGGUGGGAGACUGCGAGGUAAGUACGCCAGUAUUUACGGAGUCACCGUUGGGAUACCACCCUUGUAACGUUGAGUUUCUAACAUUGCGCCGUGAUCCGGCGCAUGGACAGUGUCAGGUGGGCAGUUUGACUGGGGCGGUCGCCUCCUAAAGAGUAACGGAGGCGCCCAAAGGUUCCCUCAGUGCGGUCGGAAAUCGCGCGAAGAGUGUAAAGGCAGAAGGGAGCUUGACUGCGAGACAGACAAGUCGAGCAGGGACGAAAGUCGGGCUUAGUGAUCCGGUGGUUCCGCGUGGAAGGGCCAUCGCUCAACGGAUAAAAGCUACCCUGGGGAUAACAGGCUGAUACCGCCCAAGAGUUCACAUCGACGGCGGUGUUUGGCACCUCGAUGUCGGCUCGUCUCAUCCUGGGGCUGAAGUAGGUCCCAAGGGUUGGGCUGUUCGCCCAUUAAAGAGGUACGCGAGCUGGGUUCAGAACGUCGUGAGACAGUUCGGUCCCUAUCCGCUGUGGGCGUUGGAGAUUUGAGUGGAGCUGUUCCUAGUACGAGAGGACCGGGAUGGACGUAGCUCUGGUGCACCAGUUGUUCUGCCAAGGGCAUCGCUGGGUAGCUACCUACGGACGGGAUAAGCGCUGAAAGCAUCUAAGUGCGAAGCCCCCCACGAGAAAAGAUCUCCUCCAA
rnacentral:rRNA from 1 species